GUCGAACGCGAAAGGGGGCUUCGGCCCCCGAGUAGAGUGGCGCACGGGUGAGUAACACGUGGGUAAUCUACCUUUGGAUGGGGAAUAACAACCGGAAACGGUUGCUAAUACCGCAUAAUGCAGCGGCACCUAAUGGUGACAGUUGUUAAAGCGGGGGAUCGAAAGACCUCGCGUCUGAAGAGGAGCCUGCGGCGGAUUAGCUAGUUGGUAAGGUAAUGGCUUACCAAGGCGACGAUCCGUAACCGGCCUGAGAGGGCGGUCGGUCACACUGACACUGACAUACGGGUCAGACUCCUACGGGAGGCAGCAGUCGGGAAUUUUGGGCAAUGGGCGAAAGCCUGACCCAGCAACGCCGCGUGAAGGAUGAAAUCCCUCGGGAUGUAAACUUCGCAAGAACGGGAAGAAUAAGUAGGGGACAAUACCCCCUAUGAUGACGGUACCGUUUGUAAGCUCCGGCUAACUCCGUGCCAGCAGCCGCGGUGAUACGGGGGGAGCAAGCGUUGUUCGGAUUUACUGGGCGUAAAGGGCGCGUAGGCGGUCAGCACAAGUCAGUUGUGAAAUCUCCGAGCUUAACUCGGAAAGGUCAACUGAUACUGUGCGACUAGAGUGCAGAAGGGGCAACUGGAAUUCUCGGUGUAGCGGUGAAAUGCGUAGAUAUCGAGAGGAACACCUGCGGCGAAGGCGGGUUGCUGGGCUGACACUGACGCUGAGGCGCGAAAGCUAGGGGAGCGAACGGG
rnacentral:rRNA from 1 species